UACGGAAGGCAGCAGUGGGGAAUAUUGCACAAUGGGCGAAAGCCUGAUGCAGCUAUGCCGCGUGUAUGAAGAAGGCCUUAGGGUUGUAAAGUACUUUCAUCGGGGAGGAAAAAACAAAACUAAUAAUUUUAUUCUUGACGUUACCCGAAAAAGAAGCACCGGCUAACUCCGUGCCAGCAGCCGCGGUAAUACGGAGGGUGCUAGCGUUAAUCAGAAUUACUGGGCGUAAGAGCACGUAGGUGGUUUUUUAAGUUCAGAUGUGAAAUCCCUCGGGCGUUAACCUAGGAACUGCAUUUUGAAACUGAAAUACUAGAGUAUCGUAGAGGGAGGUAGAAUUCUAGGUGUAGCGGUGAAAUGCGUAGAUAUCUGGAGGAAUACCUGUGGCGAAAGCGGCCUCCUAAACGAAUACUGACACUGAGGUGCGAAAGCGUGGGGAGCAAACAGGGAUUAGAUACC
rnacentral:rRNA from 1 species